rnacentral:rRNA from 1 species
UACGUAGGGUGCAGGCGUUAAUCGGAAUUACUGGGCGUAAAGCGUGCGCAGGCGGCUCCUUAAGUCAGAUGUGAAAUCCCCGGGCUUAACCUGGGAACUGCGUUUGAAACUGGGGGGGCUUGAGUGUGGCAGAGGGGGGGUGGAAUUCCAGGUGUAGCAGUGAAAAUGCGUAGAUAUCUGGAGGAACACCAAUGGCGAAGGCAGCCCCCUGGGCUAACAC